AAAAAGAUGGGUAAUAAACGUGAGAGAAACACUAUUAGACAUUAAAGUUGGCAUCAAUUGGCAACUGUUUCACCCUUACCCUACAACUUAUCGAGCAUGGGGUUUGUUGUAUGGUUCGUUUCCAUGACAACGUAGGCCAAUGCCUGCUUGUUUGUUAUUGGUGGCAGAUUCGAAAUCAUAUAAAUUUUGCUUUAUAUGGGAUGGAGACUUCCACGGAUCAAGUAUUUUCCAGUGCUAUUAUUGGUAGUAGUACUGCAAAGCAGAAAUCGAGAUUGUCUCAAUUUUCUGAAUAUCGAGAGGAACGAUACUUUGCAAACGUAUGGGUUCAGCUUCUUCUGUAUAUAAAUGUACACUUUUGUGUUAUCUGGAUAACAAGCAGUAUAGUUACAUUAUAUUAUCAGUACAGGAACUUAUCAACUAUUCACCGUGUUUUAUCGAUAUUGUCUUUAGUCAUUGCUGCUCCAAUAGAAUGUCUUCGAUUGUAUCUUGGGUAUUCCGGAAAUCUUCUAGACAAGAUUCCAGAUUUUGCAGGCUUUUGGAUAUUGUCAGUUUUUAUACAAACUCCAUUGCAAAUAUAUCUGAUGACCAGUGAGCAAAUUUUAAAAUACAGAACUAGUACUGUUUUGCAGGCAAUUCAAUGUAUGUUGUUGCUGCUACAGAUUAUAUCUAGUUUCACUGCAAUUCGCAGAGCUUCCCGAUUUCGACGUCAACAAUUCCAGGCCGAAAAAGCUUGCUAUGAUAUGGACAACCCUCG